rnacentral:rRNA from 1 species
GACGAACGCUGGCGGCGUGCUUAACACAUGCAAGUCGAACGAUGAAGCCGGAGCUUGCUCUGGUGAAUUAGUGGCGAACGGGUGAGUAACACGUGAGUAACCUGCCCUUGACUCUGGGAUAACUGCUAGAAAUGGUAGCUAAUACCGGAUACGACCCUCGGAGGCAUCUCCAGGGGGUGGAAAGAAUUUCGGCCAGGGAUGUGCUCGCGGCCUAUCAGCUUGAUGGUGAGGUAAUGGCUCACCAUGGCUUCGACGGGUAGCCGGCCUGAGAGGGUGACCGGUCACACUGGGACUGAGACACGGCCCAGACUCCUACGGGAGGCAGCAGUGGGGAAUAUUGGACAAUGGGCGGAAGCCUGAUCCAGCAACGCCGCGUGAGGGAUGACGGCCUUCGGGUUGUAAACCUCUUUCGCCUGUGACGAAGCGCAAGUGACGGUAACAGGUAAAGAAGCACCGGCCAACUACGUGCCAGCCGCCGCGGUAA